rnacentral:lncRNA from 1 species
GGGGAACAUCAUAACAUGGUGGGAGGAGACAUUUGGUGACUGUUCACCCGUUUUCGUGUUUACUCCUGAGGUGGAAGGGCGAAGUUCCCCACUGGCUUGGAGACCAUUUGUUGGUCGACAAGUCAGCUUUCUUUGGUGUGUGAGCGUGCCACUGCUAGCAAUGUAAAUCCUAGCAGACUUCUUUUUAGAGUGGAUAACUUUCGCCCCAAGUUACUGACUUCUAAAACAAACGAUUGUGAAUUUGGGUGAGGAAUAUCUCCCAAGUAAGUUCUUUUCUUG